CCAAUCAAAAGCGGAGCGUCGUCGUCCGUAGUGGCGUGCACAAGGGCGUGUGUUCACUAUUUAAAGCGAAGGCUUUGCGCGGAUUAGCCACAUACGCAUCUUACCUGGAGAGGACAGUGUCACCGCUCACCCCAGAAAUCUUCCAAAAUGAGUGACGCCAACCCAGUCAACCAGGAAUUGGAGACGUUCAACAAGCAAAAGCUGAAGAAGACCAACACACAAGAAAAAAAUCACCUCCCAACACAGGCGGAAAUUGAGGAAGAGAAGAAGGCCUUGGAAGCAGCCAAGAAAUGAAGCACAUUUGCCAUGUUUCCUCAUGUCCAUUCCUGCUCUGACCUGCUCGUCUUCCAGUUAGGAGUCGGCCCAUCUAUUCCAUCUUCUUGUGUGUGGCCAUGAUUUCAAAAAAAUGACGUUCUUGUUGCCCAUCCGGGGAAUAUUUCCCUUGUGUAACCCCCUAUUGGCUGCUUUUCCAUCAUGUCCUUUCCAGGCUGUUGACUGAGUGUUGAACAGAGCUCCAAACAUCUAUGCUUACACAAAAAUGGAAAAAUGAUAAAUGUUGUGAUGAAUGGUAAUCUAACAAAAUAUUCCUAACAUCGUGAGUAUGCCUGUAAAUGGUGCCAUUAAGAAAAAAUGUAAUGAAAAUAUUUUUGUUUUGAUAAAAUUAAAUGAAUCGAACAUUCUGACUACA